GCGAAGGUGGUGGAACUGGCAGACACGCUAGACUUAGGAUCUAGUGCCGCAAGGCGUGUGGGUUCGACUCCCACCCUUCGCA
rnacentral:tRNA from 1 species